rnacentral:rRNA from 1 species
AGUGAACGCUGGCGGUAGGCCUAACACAUGCAAGUCGAACGGCAGCACAGUAAGCGCUUGCUCUUACGGGUGGCGAGUGGCGGACGGGUGAGGAAUACAUCGGCAUCUACUUUUUCGUGGGGGAUAACGUAGGGAAACUUACGCUAAUACCGCAUACGACCUACGGGUGAAAGCAGGGGAUCUUCGGACCUUGCGCGAUUGAAUGAGCCGAUGUCGGAUUAGCUAGUUGGCGGGGUAAAGGCCCACCAAGGCGACGAUCCGUAGCUGGUCUGAGAGGAUGACCAGCCACACUGGAACUGAGACACGGUCCAGACUCCUACGGGAGGCAGCAGUGGGGAAUAUUGGACAAUGGGCGCAAGCCUGAUCCAGCCAUACCGCGUGGGUGAAGAAGGCCUUCGGGUUGUAAAGCCCUUUUGUUGGGAAAGAAAAGCAGCAGGUUAAUACCCCGCUGUUCUGACGGUACCCAAAGAAUAAGCACCGGCUAACUUCGUG